rnacentral:lncRNA from 1 species
AAUUUUGAAAUAAAAAUCAGUUCUGUCAGUCCAUUAAACUAUAGAAAUAUCAGAUUCAGUGCAUGAACUCUCACUGAGCAGUCAUCACCGCUAAAAUGACUUGACAUUGACGUAUUUCCUGUUGAAAAAGGGGUAUUAAAUUUGAGCAGAUGAAGAAGAAGAAAAAGGAGAAGAAAAAAGUAAAUUUAUCUGGAAUUAACCAAUGAUUUUUUUGAAUUUAAGUCAUGAUGGGGAUGUUUUAGUUUGUUUAUUUAUUCAUUCAUUCAUUAAGCUUAUAAUACAAUGUAAUGGUGAAGGCCUUUCAGUGAUUAAUUGAGAUUAACAGAGCGUUUGAAGCAUGCUGGUGAAAUUUUGGGCAGCAUAGAAACAGCAGUGUAAAACUCUCUCUGCAUGAUUUAAUGAUGUGAGUUUCUUCAGCACCACGGACAGCGCUGACUAUUCAUCUACUGGAGACUCCAUACUGAGCACUCUCACUUAUUAUCCUACACGCAGCAGUGACAGUCUACAGAACCCAAGAAAGAACCGGAAAUAUGAUUUCAUAAAAAUGGGCCCUGAGGUUUUUCCCUGUUCUGCGUCCCAGGGGCCUGUACUCUCAGCCAGGUUUCCGGCCCUGCAGCGGUCAGAUCGUGUAACGUCCCAGAGCCUAUUGAUCCAGGUUCAGGUUUGCUGUCGUUCAUCUAUAAAUACACCUGGGGUGCUAUCGGUGGCCUGCCUGGGGAGGGAGGAUUCUCUCGUUGCCAGACUCUCUCUCCACCCUUUAUGCUGUCCUCCUCCCCUCCGGACAGGCUAUUUUUGAAGGCAAUCUAUAAGUCCCCUGGCACCCUGCAGCCCCGGGGUUCAGGUUCUAGGCAGUAGAUCAAUGGAAAGCUGCAGAACUGUGUGCAGUGAGAGAAGAUGCUCCACUUUAUCCCACCCGCGGAUUCAUGACAUUGUUUUUUUCUCUUUGUAAAAAAAGUUUACAAAGAAACAGUUUCAAUACUGUAUACAUUUGGACACUGAAAUCACAAUCACAAUAUAUUUUAAGCGGUUCAAACAUAAGAUGUUGACAAUGAAACACAAGUUAUCAGUACAUUUGAGUAAAAGUUGUAAAAAAUGAAAAUUCGUUGAAAAAUGUACUCAUCCUAAGGCAAUCCAAGAUGUACUGUAGAUGAAUUUGUUUCUUCUUCCGAACAGAUUUGGAGAAAUAUAGCAUCACUUGCUCACCAAUGGAUGCUCUGCAGUGAAUGGGUGCCGUCAGAAUGAGAGUCCAAACAGCUGAUAAAAACAUUACAAUAAUCCACAAGUAACUCACACCACUCCAGUCCAUCAGUUAACAUCUUGUGAAGCCAAAAGCUGCGUGUUUGCAGGAAACAAAUCCAUCAAGGCAUUUUACCUUUCAACUGUCAACCCUAAAACAUUAUAAACAUAUGGUAUGUCUCUAACUUUGUUCAUAUAUAAAAGUGUGAAGGUUUUAAAAGCAAACACUAAAAAGAAAAACAUCAACAUAAUGCACCUUUUUUAAGCUGUUCGUACAGCUUAAAGGGUUUAUUAAAUACUAAAACUAAAACAUAAAAUAUCAACGUAUUGUAAAUUUCUGAAGUAGGUACUGACACUGAAAACUACAAUAUUAACUAGUGCUGUCAAAUGAUUAAUCGCAUCCAAAAUAAAAGAUUUUGUUUACAUAAUAUAUGUAUGUGUACAGUGUAUAUUUAUGUAUAAAUAAAUACAUACACACAGUAAAUAUUUUGAAACUAUUUACAUGUAUAAAUUAUAUUCUUAUAUUUUAUAUUAUAUAU